rnacentral:rRNA from 1 species
AGAGUUUGAUCCUGGCUCAGAUUGAACGCUGGCGGCAUGGCUAAAACAUGCAAGUCGAACGCGAAAGGGAGCAAUCCCAAGUAGAGUGGCGCAAGGGCGAGUAAUGCGUUUCUAACGUACCCCGGACUCGAGGAUAGCCAGUCGAAAGAUUGGGUAAUACUCGAUGAUGUCAUCUGGCCGCAUGGCUGGGUGACCAAAGAUACCGCCGCAAGGCAGGGUGGUCUGGGAGCGGGGAAUGUCCUAUCAGCUAGUUGGUGAGGUAACGGCUCACCAAGGCUAAGACGGGUAACCGGUGUGAGAGCACGGCCGGUCGCAUCGGGACUGAGACACUGCCCGGACUUCUACGGAAGGCUGCAGUGACGAAUAUUCCGCAAUGGGCGCAAGCCUGACGGAGCGAUGCCGCGUGCGGGACGAAGCCCCUCGGGGUGUAAACCGCUGUCAAAGGAUAGCAACUUAAUGAGCAACCUUAAAGGAAGAGGCGACUAACUCUGUGCCAGCAGUCGCGGUAAUACAGAGGCCUCGAGCGUUAAUCGGAGUUACUGGGCUUGAAGGGUGCGUAGGUGGGUCCGCAAGUGUCUUGUGAAAGCCCACGGCUCAACCGUGGAAGAGCUUGAUAGACUGCGGGUCUUGAGGUCGGUAGGGGUCGCUGGAACUCUAGGUGGAGCGGUGAAAUGCGUAGAUAUCUAGAGGAACGCCCAAGGCGAAGGCAGGCGACUGGGCCGAUUCUGACACUGAGGCACGAAAGCAUGGGUAGCGAACGGGAUUAGAUACCCCGGUAGUCCAUGCCCUAAACGAUGUACACUAGAUCCGGGAGACUCUGACGUCAUCCGGGUCGAAGCGAAAGUAUUUAGUGUACCGCCUGGGGAGUUCGGUCGCAAGGCUAAAACUCAAAGGAAUUGACGGGGACUCACACAAGCGGUGGAACAUGUGGCUCAAUUCGAAGCAACGCGAAGAACCUUAUCCAGGGCUUGACAUACACGGAUUAGUCCCGGGAAACCGGGAUAACACUCGCAAGAGCGGAACGUGCACAGGUGCUGCAUGGCUGUCGUCAGCUCGUGCUGUGAAGUGUCGGGUUAAGUCCCUUAACGAGCGAAACCCCUGUCGCUAGUUGCUACGCCGCAAGGCUGGACUCUAGCGAGACUCCGGUGUCAAACCGGAGGAAGGUGGGGACGACGUCAAGUCCUCAUGGCCUUUAUGCCCUGGGCUGCACACGUGUUACAAUGCGCGCCACAAUGCGACGCGAUACCGCAAGGUGGAGCAAAUCGCUAAAAGGCGCGCCCAGUUCAGAUUGGGGUCUGCAACUCGACCCCAUGAAGUCGGAAUCGCUAGUAAUCGCGGAUCAGCUACGCCGCGGUGAAUGUGUUCCUGAGUCUUGUACACACCGCCCGUCAAGCCAUGGGAGCCGGGAGCACCCGAACUCGUCUCGAUUCAGAGAUGCCCACGGUGAGCUCGGUGACUGGGGCUAAGUCGAAACAAGGUA